rnacentral:rRNA from 1 species
CACGUAGGUGGCAAGCGUUGUCCGGAUUUAUUGGGCGUAAAGAGCUCGUAGGCGGCUCAGUAAGUCAGGUGUGAAACCUCCAGGCUCAACCUGGAGACGGCACCUGAUACUGCUGUGGCUAGAGUCCGGUAGGGGAGCGUGGAAUUCCUGGUGUAGCGGUGAAAUGCGCAGAUAUCAGGAAGAACACCAGUGGCUAAGGCGGUUCUCUAGUACGGUACUGACGCUGAGACGCGAAAGCGUGGGGAGCGAACAGG